UUAUGACAGUUGAUUGUACCAAAGACUCCAUGCAUUCUCUAACAGUUGCUGGCCUCCAGCUAGAAAACACAGGGAGUCUUUGGUACAAUCAACUGUCAUAAUAUAUGUCCCAAAAGGAGAACAAAUUAUGCCCCUAAAGUACUAACCAUCAGAUUUUGGCCUCCAGAUAUAUUGGCCCUGACCAUAAUGUGGACGUGCAUGGUUUCGCGUGGUUAAAUAACUCGGAUGACUUUCUUGUCUUUGCUUGGUAGAAUUGUCAGGACAAGUGCCCUGUCUUGGCUUGGUGAAAUAGUUGGGAUGCCUUUCCAGUCUUGUGUUCUGAACUGGAUGUUGCACUUGCAACUUCGAAUUGUUGGGACGAAUUUCCUUUGGCUUGCUCAAAACUUUGGGACGACUCUCCUGUCUUUUCUUAGCUAAAUAAUUGGGAUUUCCUUCCAGGCUCAUGUUCUGAAUUUUAUGCUGCACUUGUGACUGAGAAUACACAGCCCUGCUCAUCAUUGGACGAGUACUUUGGUAGUCCACAACAGUGUGACUUGAGCUCCCAGCAGGUGUUUCUGCAAUGAAAUUUAUUAUUUGUGGCCUGACUAACAUGCUAAGGAGAGAACUACUAUUGUGACUGGCCAAAACAAGCCUAUCAUAUGAUGUCUGAAAUGCUUCAGAUAUCUUUUCCAGGUUUCCAGCACUGACAGCCCUUGCAGUAUUCUCAGGCUGCUCAAAAGGAUCCUCAAUAAAUAAUGCAUAUGUUUUGGGCAACCAUC
rnacentral:misc_RNA from 1 species